rnacentral:rRNA from 1 species
AACGAACGCUGGCGGCAUGCCUAACACAUGCAAGUCGAACGAGACCUUCGGGUCUAGUGGCGCACGGGUGCGUAACGCGUGGGAACCUGCCCUUAGGUUCGGAAUAACUCCCCGAAAGGGGUGCUAAUACCGGAUAAUGUCUUCGGACCAAAGAUUUAUCGCCUUUGGAUGGGCCCGCGUUGGAUUAGCUAGUUGGUAGGGUAAAAGCCUACCAAGGCGACGAUCCAUAGCUGGUCUGAGAGGAUGAUCAGCCACGCUGGGACUGAGACACGGCCCAGACUCCUACGGGAGGGAGCAGUGGGGAAUAUUGGACAAGGGGCGAAAGCCUGAUCCAGCAGUGCCGCGUGAGUGAUGAAGGCCUUAGGGUUGUAAAGCUCUUUUACCCGGGAUGAUAAUGACAGUACCGGGAGAAUAAGCUCCGGCUAACUCCGUG